AACUAAUCGAGCACAGAUGGAACUUUGCAAGGCAAAAACAGAACAGUCCACACAAAUAGGUUUAUCUGCGAUGAGGUGGCGACUUGUCCAGGGUGUACCCUGCCUUCCGCCCGUGUGCAGUUGGGGAAGGCUCCAGCACCCCCCGCGACCCCGUAAGGGACAAGCGGUAGAAAAUGGAUGGAUGGAAGGCCAGCUUCUGAGAUUGCACUGUAUUUGAG